rnacentral:misc_RNA from 1 species
GUUAGAAAUGCCAGUUGAGGACAUUAUUCGAUCAAAGUUCGGGAAAUCAGUCCCAAUUUCAGCAACAGGAUCCCUCGACAUAUCUGAGAAGGCAUCUUGUACAUUUUCUGCAGAUAUAGGUACCGCACUUCCUGAACUAAAUCUAAGGGGAUUGCCACUUAAAUGAAUACUGUUGCAUGGAGCUUCCGACUUUGUUGAUUCAGACAUUUGACAGGUUGGUGAUCUUGGAGAGACGAAGGGUGACUGAUUUGCCGAAAAGAAUGCUGAAGAUGAUGAUGACAUAUUCCUUGAAGUU